UACGUAGGCAGCGAGCGUUGUUCGGAGUUACUGGGCGUAAAGGGUGUGUAGGCGGUCUUUUAAGUUUGGUGUGAAAUCUCCCGGCUUAACCGGGAGGGUGCGCCGAAUACUGAGGGACUAGAGUGCGGGAGAGGAAAGUGGAAUUCCUGGUGUAGCGGUGAAAUGCGUAGAUAUCAGGAGGAACACCGGUGGUGUAGACGGCUUUCUGGACCGUAACUGACGCUGAGACACGAAAGCGUGGGUAGCAAACAGG
rnacentral:rRNA from 1 species